GAUGAACGCUAGCUACAGGCUUAACACAUGCAAGUCGAGGGGUAACGAGAGGAAAGCUUGCUUUCCUUGUCGACGACCGGCGCACGGGUGAGUAACGCGUAUCCAACCUGCCCCCAACUAGGGAAUAACCUUGCGAAAGUAAGACUAAUACCCUAUAAUUUCCUCAGAAGACAUCUGACGAGGAAUAAAGAUUUAUCGGUUGUGGAUGGGGAUGCGUCUAAUUAGCUUGUUGGCGGGGUAACGGCCCACCAAGGCAACGAUCAGUAGGGGUUCUGAGAGGAAGGUCCCCCACAUUGGAACUGAGACACGGUCCAAACUCCUACGGGAGGCAGCAGUGAGGAAUAUUGGUCAAUGGGCGGAAGCCUGAACCAGCCAAGUAGCGUGCAGGAUGACGGCCCUAUGGGUUGUAAACUGCUUUUAUACAGGAAUAAAGUUAGCCACGUGUGGUUAUUUGUAGGUACUGUAUGAAUAAGGACCGGCUAAUUCCGUGCCAGCCGCCGCCGUAA
rnacentral:rRNA from 1 species